rnacentral:rRNA from 1 species
GAUGAACGCUGGCGGCGUGCCUAAUACAUGCAAGUCGAGCGAAUGGAUUAAGAGCUUGCUCUUAUGAAGUUAGCGGCGGACGGGUGAGUAACACGUGGGUAACCUGCCCAUAAGACUGGGAUAACUCCGGGAAACCGGGGCUAAUACCGGAUAACAUUUUGAACCGCAUGGUUCGAAAUUGAAAGGAGGCUUCGGCUGUCACUUAUGGAUGGACCCGCGUCGAAUUAGCUAGUUGGUGAGGUAACGGCUCACCAAGGCAACGAUGCGGAGCCGACCUGAGAGGGUGAGCGGCCACACUGGGACUGAGACACGGCCCAGACUCCUACGGGAGGCAGCAGUAGGGAAUCUUCCGCAAUGGACGAAAGUCUGACGGAGCAACGCCGCGUGAGUGAUGAAGGCUUUCGGGUCGUAAAACUCUGUUGUUAGGGAAGAACAAGUGCUAGUUGAAUAAGCUGGCACCUUGACGGUACCUAACCAGAAAGCCACGGCUAACUACGUGCCAGCAGCCGCAGUAA